rnacentral:rRNA from 1 species
GACGUAGGGGGCCAGCGUUGUUCGGAAUUACUGGGUGUAAAGGGUUCGUAGGCGGUGUGGCAAGUCGGGAGUGAAAUCUCUGGGCUCAACUCAGAGACUGCUUCCGAAACUGCUGUGCUGAAGUGUGGGAGAGGCGCGUGGAAUUGCAGGUGUAGCGGUGAAAUGCGUAGAUAUCUGCAGGAACACCCGUGGCGAAAGCGGCGCGCUGGACCACUACUGACGCUGAGGAACGAAAGCUAGGGGAGCAAACAGG